CGCGUAGGCGGCGCUGUAAGUCACUUGUGAAAUCUCCGGGCUUAACUCGGAACGGUCAAGUGAUACUGCAGUGCUAGAGUGCGGAAGGGGCAAUCGGAAUUCUUGGUGUAGCGGUGAAAUGCGUAGAUAUCAAGAGGAACACCUGAGGUGAAGACGGGUUGCUGGGCCGACACUGACGCUGACAGCGCGAAAGCCAGGGGAGCAAACG
rnacentral:rRNA from 1 species